rnacentral:lncRNA from 1 species
GCUCAAAGAGCUGAGAAUCUUAUCCAUGAUUACACAGAAAAUAAACUCAGGUGCACUUCCAGGGGAUCUUACCUCAGGAAAGGAAGACAUUACAUCAACUUUUUAAAUAAUAGUGAUUAAUACAAUGGAAUGAUCGUCUUACUUUGGCUUACAACAAUCAGGACGUAACUUUGGCAGUGGUCCUUCUCAUUGUCAGGUUUGUUCUGGGGAAAAGUCUGCCGUUGGAGAGAUAGAGUUCAGUCCUGCU